CAGCAUGGUAGGAAUAUUUUUUAAUAAGGUUCUUUAACCUCUCCUAUGUUUCAUGGAACAUUUCUCCAUCUAAUUGAGAAAAACUAGUUAUGACUUUUCUUAUUUG